CAGAGUUCAGUUUCUUCCAGUUCCCGCUGUGGUUGAGAAUUCAGAAUUCCAUCAUCACCUAACUUCUUUUGAAGGGGCACAGAGGAGAGGCCAUGUGAGGGCACAGCGAGAAAAGGACCAUCGGCAAGCCAGGAAGAGAGGUCCACCAGAAACCAAUCCUGUCAGCACUUCCAGCCUCCAGAAUGAUGAAGCUGGAACAUGAGUCCUUCACAUCACUCAGGGAACUGGCAUAUUGUGUCCCCGUCGUGGGGAGUCGCAGUGUCUGUCGGCAUGAUCCAGGAAGUCCUUGGGGAAACUGCUUGCGUACCAUCCCUUACCUCAGUGUUACCAAGCCUCAGUUUCUCUUAGCACCUCUUACCAUCUGGAGCAGCCAGUUUUCCA